rnacentral:lncRNA from 1 species
ACUAAAGCUCAUACAAUAUUAGUGAGCUGUCCAUUUAAAAUGACUUUUAGCUAGGUCCCACCUAUCCAAUCUUAGUCUAAUUAUAUAUGAUGCAACCAAGUUGAUCUUAUUUAGUCUAACCUAAGUUCAUUGGAUCUAAUUAGAUCCGACAUGGUAACUUGACCCAUCUUGCCAAACCUAAUCAUGUAGUUAGCCCAAUUUAGAUAUGCAA